rnacentral:lncRNA from 1 species
CUGUUUUGUAUUCUAUUAUGGACAGUUACCUGGUCUGUUAGGUAAUGCUGUACUUUAUAAAUGUAGGAGACUUAAUGUCUUAAUGUUCUGUUUCUACUCAGAAUACUGAUGAAAGUAAUAGGUCAGAUGCUACUAAUGAAGAAGCUGCAGAGAAAAAUUAUAAAGUCCUGGAGACAAUGUCUCAAUCUAAUGAAACAGCUGGUUUACAAGAAGACAGCAAGCAGAGUGUGCUGAAACCAACACCUCUAAAGAGAGGCAGAGUGCAGAGACCAAAACCAAAUCUAGGAAGAAGUGUUGCAAGGCAAAAAGACCUGACAGAUGAAAAAGAUGCUGAAGAGGAGAAAAGGGAAGGUGGAGAAGUAGAAAAAGGUGUGACACAUGCUGAAAACAAUGAUCCAUGCCUCAAAAAUGUAAGUUUAUUGAACAGUCACUUAGGCGUGCUGUUCUGCUGGGUCCUAAGUAGAAGCCUUUAGUAACAAAGAUCUAGGUGCAUAUUACAUA